rnacentral:rRNA from 1 species
UUAAAUUGAAGAGUUUGAUCAUGGCUCAGAUUGAACGCUGGCGGCAGGCCUAACACAUGCAAGUCGAGCGGAAACGAGUUAUCUGAACCUUCGGGGAACGGUAACGGCGUCGAGCGGC